GACGAACGCUGGCGGCGUGCUUAACACAUGCAAGUCGAACGGAAAGGCCCUGCUUUUGUGGGGUGCUCGAGUGGCGAACGGGUGAGUAACACGUGAGUAACCUGCCCUUGACUUUGGGAUAACUUCAGGAAACUGGGGCUAAUACCGGAUAGGAGCUCCUGCUGCAUGGUGGGGGUUGGAAAGUUUCGGCGGUUGGGGAUGGACUCGCGGCUUAUCAGCUUGUUGGUGGGGUAGUGGCUUACCAAGGCUUUGACGGGUAGCCGGCCUGAGAGGGUGACCGGCCACAUUGGGACUGAGAUACGGCCCAGACUCCUACGGGAGGCAGCAGUGGGGAAUAUUGCACAAUGGGCGGAAGCCUGAUGCAGCAACGCCGCGUGCGGGAUGACGGCCUUCGGGUUGUAAACCGCUUUCGCCUGUGACGAAGCGUGAGUGACGGUAAUGGGUAAAGAAGCACCGGCUAACUACGUGCCAGCAGCCGCGGUGAUACGUAGGGUGCGAGCGUUGUCCGGAUUUAUUGGGCGUAAAGGGCUCGUAGGUGGUUGAUCGCGUCGGAAGUGUAAUCUCGGGGCUUAACCCUGAGCGUGCUUUCGAUACGAGUUGACUUGAGGAAGGUAGGGGAGAAUGGAAUUCCUGGUGGAGCGGUGGAAUGCGCAGAUAUCAGGAGGAACACCAGUGGCGAAGGCGGUUCUCUGGGCCUUUCCUGACGCUGAGGAGCGAAAGCGUGGGGAGCGAACAGGCUUAGAUACCCUGGUAGUCCACGCUGUAAACGGUGGGUACUAGGUGUGGGGUCCAUUCCACGGGUUCCGUGCCGUAGCUAACGCUUUAAGUACCCCGCCUGGGGAGUACGGCCGCAAGGCUAAAACUCAAAGGAAUUGACGGGGCCCCGCACAAGCGGCGGAGCAUGCGGAUUAAUUCGAUGCAACGCGUAGAACCUUACCUGGGUUUGACAUGGAUCGGGAGUGCUCAGAGAUGGGUGUGCCUCUUUUGGGGUCGGUUCACAGGUGGUGCAUGGCUGUCGUCAGCUCGUGUCGUGAGAUGUUGGGUUAAGUCCCGCAACGAGCGCAACCCUUGUUCACUGUUGCCAGCACGUUAUGGUGGGGACUCAGUGGAGACCGCCGGGGUCAACUCGGAGGAAGGUGGGGAUGACGUCAAGUCAUCAUGCCCCUUAUGUCCAGGGCUUCACGCAUGCUACAAUGGCUGGUACAGAGAGUGGCGAGCCUGUGAGGGUGAGCGAAUCUCGGAAAGCCGGUCUCAGUUCGGAUUGGGGUCUGCAACUCGACCUCAUGAAGUCGGAGUCGCUAGUAAUCGCAGAUCAGCAACGCUGCGGUGAAUACGUUCCCGGGGCU
rnacentral:rRNA from 1 species